rnacentral:rRNA from 1 species
GAUGAACGCUGGCGGCGUGCCUAAUACAUGCAAGUAGAACGCUGAAGGAAGGAGCUUGCUCUUUCCGGAUGAGUUGCGAACGGGUGAGUAACGCGUAGGUAACCUGCCUGGUAGCGGGGGAUAACUAUUGGAAACGAUAGCUAAUACCGCAUAACAGUAGAUGUUGCAUGAUAUCUACUUAAAAGGUGCAAUUGCACCACUACCAGAUGGACCUGCGUUGUAUUAGCUAGUUGGUGAGGUAACGGCUCACCAAGGCGACGAUACAUAGCCGACCUGAGAGGGUGAUCGGCCACACUGGGACUGAGACACGGCCCAGACUCCUUCGGGAGGCAGCAGUAGGGAAUCUUCGGCAAUGGACGGAAGUCUGACCGAGCAACGCCGCGUGAGUGAAGAAGGUUUUCGGAUCGUAAAGCUCUGUUGUAAGAUAAGAACGAGUGUGAGAGUGGAAAGUUCACACUGUGACGGUAUCUUACCAGAAAGGGACGGCUAACUACGUG